UCUCUUUGCACCACUUGCAAGUUGAUUGCAUUUCAAUGAAGUUUCUGCGAGGCAGCUAAAAAUAGCGUCGUGCGGGGGAAAUCUCUAGCAUGGGAGGCGGGCGCAUUCCAAGUGCAACAACAACAACAACAACAACAGCUACAGCGAUUCCAAAUGCCAUCCAUCCAUCCAUCUAUUACGGACAAAACGGGUUUCGAUCAGAAGCGUGCCGGCGGCGGCGUCUCUACCGGUCGGUCGUGCUUCUAACUGAAACCGAAAUGAGUCGAUAUUUUCCCCGCUGGAUCGACUAGGGUUUGGGCCUGCUUGGGGGUGUCCCCCAGUUGAAAUUGUGGCACACGUAACCCACCUGAAUACGGACAGCGGCCUGCAGCUUGGGUAAACUCCAGCGAACGACUGCGAACGGCGGGGGCGUUACCCAAAGCCCCCCAUACACGCUGAGGGGCGUAUCGGGUUAUUUGUAAGCAUUUAAAGGAUCAUUAGAUCAUGUCUGGGAAAGAUAUUCAAUCAUUUGGCUAAACAAAUGAUGCACGGAUUGUGGAAAUUACUGAGAAUUCGGAUAGCUAAUG
rnacentral:lncRNA from 1 species